GCCGCUCCUCCCAGGCCUUGUGUCCCAGGCCCUUCCCCAGCUUCGCAGCCCUUCUCUGGACACGCUCCAGGGCCUCGAUGUCCUUCUGGCAGUGAGGGGCCCAAAGCUGACCCCAGCACUCGAGGGGCGGCCUCAGCAGAGCAGAGCACAGGGGGACGAUCACCUCCCUGCCCCUGCUGGCUGCACUACCCCUGACACAAACAGGGUGC